CUCAGACGUAAGCAACCACCUUUCGCGAUGAACUGGUUCUCCUCGGUUCGAUCGAUCAAAAAGGCUAAAUCGCUGAAAAUACGCCGUGCCCGGCCGAGGGGACAUUCCCCGGUAAACUUUCGGCACCGGUGUGGUAUCGUUUAUAUUGUUUGCCAGAGAUACCGAUGAGACGUUUGUCGACGAUAAAACUGUCGAUUCGCUGAUCACGCGUUUGUAAACGCAGCGUAUGAUCGUUUUAUAAAAUGGCACGUUUAGCUGAAAAUCUGUUGAACCUGUUGGAGACCGAGACGUGACCUUCCACGUUUAGAAACGCAUUCGACCAGAGUCAUGGUUACGCGACGAUGAUGCUGCGCGAAGAAGGACCCUAACCGUCGUCGAAAGAAAAACAACGUUUUGUUCUAUAUUCUCUUUCAUUCUUUCCGGAUCGAGUGUUUUCAAGGAACUUGGGGAUUCAUUCACGUAUCUUUUGUUUACGCUCCUCAAAUAUUUCUUGCCACGCAUUGCUUCGGCAUGAGCGCGGAGAAUUGAGCGUACGCCUCCGAGGGAAUCGAAGAGGACGGCGCAGGCUCUAAUGGACAGGAGAGAAUUAAAACGCCAGGAUGAGAAGAACGAGUCCCAGGUACGUCCGAGAUCCGCGGCGCAAUAAUAAAAUCUAUCUAAUGAAAGCUAAUAAUAAAAUCGAGUAACUUAUGCUGCCGGUCGGCUCCGACGCGCUGGAACCUCGAGCGGAGAACGAUGAAACGCCACGGAACGGAGCGGAAGGAAACGAGCCGCAGGAAGCCGAGAUGAUCCCCGGGAUUGGAACGGUCACCUCUUUACGGACGAGGAUUUUUAGAAGCGUUGGAAGUCUCUUCCGAGGAAAAUUGAAUUGGAGACGGGACUCUUAAGCAUUGGGAAAUAAGAGAACCGUAUGGACAAAUCGGUUAGCUACGUGGGACAAAAAGUCGAUGAGAGUGACGCGAUGGUUAUAGGUUGAUUUUUAAGGUUUCUCUUUAAAUGGAAAAUCGAGGGAUCGUUGUAGAGUAUCUUACUUUGUUGCUGCGUCGCUUUGAUGCGACUAGUGUGGGGAGCGCGUGUAAUAUCCUUGAAGCAAUUUUUAUAAUAAUAAUUGUUACUGACAUCUUUGAAUUUUCUUCUUCUUCUUCUUCUUCUUCUUAUUAUUAUUAUUAUUAUUAUUGGUGCUCUUUUGUUAUCUCGUGUUACAAAAUCUAAUAAUAAGAAAAUUCAAAGACCUUAACGUCAAAAUA